rfam:Danio rerio chromosome 4, GRCz11 reference primary assembly.
GCGCUGUGGCUUAGUUGUUCAAAGUGGCUGUCUUGUAAACAGGAGACCCUGGAAUCAAGUCCCAGCAAACGUG